UUAGACAUGAAGUUAGGUUGGCAAACCCGCUGAAUUUAAGCAUAUAAGUAAGCGGAGGACAAGAAACUAAACAGGAUUUCCUCAGUAAUGGCGAAUGAACAGGGAUGAGCUCAACAUUGGAAUUGGGGCCUCUGGCCUUGAGUUGUAAUUUCAAGAUGUGUUGCCAACGAGGGCGCAGAUGCAAUCCUGUUGGAAAGCAGGACCAGCGAGGGUGAGAGUCCCGUCUGUCAUUUGCAGUCCUUCGUGUACGGCGCAUGUUCUAAGAGUCACGCUCCUCGGAAUUGGAGCGCAAACUGGGUGGUAAAUUUCAUCUCAAGCUAAAUAUGGGUUCGAAACCGAUAGCAAACAAGUACCAUGAGGGAAAGAUGAAAAGGACUUUGAAAAGAGAGUUAAAAGUGUUUGAAAUUGCUGAAAGGAAAGCGGAUGGAACCAGUGCUGCUUGAUGAGAUUGUUGCAUACUGUGUGGAUGGGCUGUAAGUGUAGCGUAAGUGCGCUUGCGGUUUCUGAAGUUCGGUGUGUGGUGCUUCUCGUCUUGAGUGUCACCUGCGGUUUGUGAGUGCGGAUAACGUUCGGAACCUGGUAGCCUGGCUCCGGCUGGUCGAAUGUUCCAUUCUGAACUCACUCGCAGACCGUUCUCGCUUCUGCAAGGUAUGGUUGUGGCGGGCUGUGGUGCUCUGCUCCAUGUUGUCUCUGCGACGCCUCCCUAGCAUUCGCUUGGUGACAGAAUGGUUUUAUUCGACCCGUCUUGAAACACGGACCAAGGAGUCUAACAUAUGUGCGAGUUCAUGGGUGUCGAAACCUGCGUGCGCAAUGAAAGUGAGUACUGAGAUGCUAGCAUCAGCAGCCGACCGAUGGAUUGGCAGAGGUUUGAGCAUGAGCAUAUCUGUUAGGACCCGAAAGAUGGUGAACUAUGCCUGAGAAGGGCGAAGUCUGGGGAAACUCAGAUGGAGGCUCGUAGCGAUACUGACGUGCAAAUCGUUCGUCAUACUUGGGUAUAGGGGCGAAAGACUAAUCGAACCAUCUAGUAGCUGGUUCCCUCCGA
rnacentral:rRNA from 1 species